GGAGCUAAUACCGGAUAACAUGUUGAACCGCAUGGUUCAACAGUGAAAGACGGUCUUGCUGUCACUUAUAGAUGGAUCCGCGUCGCAUUAGCUAGUUGGUAAGGUAACGGCUUACCAAGGCAACGAUGCGUAGCCGACCUGAGAGGGUGAUCGGCCACACUGGAACUGAGACACGGUCCAG
rnacentral:rRNA from 1 species